rnacentral:rRNA from 2 species
UUAAGCGACUAAGCGUACACGGUGGAUGCCCUGGCAGUCAGAGGCGAUGAAGGACGUGCUAAUCUGCGAAAAGCGCCGGCGAGGUGAUAUGAACCUUUGACCCGGCGAUGUCCGAAUGGGGAAACCCAGUGUGUUUCGACACACUAUCGUUAACUGAAUACAUAGGUUAACGAGGCGAACCGGGGGAACUGAAACAUCUAAGUACCCCGAGGAAAAGAAAUCAACCGAGAUUCCCCCAGUAGCGGCGAGCGAACGGGGAGCAGCCCGGAGUCUGAAUCAGCUUGUGUGUUAGUGGAACGGUCUGGAAAGUCCGACGGUACAGGGUGAUAGUCCCGUACACGAAAAUGCACAGGUUGUGAACUCGAAGAGUAGGGCGGGACACGUGGUAUCCUGUCUGAAUAUGGGGGGACCAUCCUCCAAGGCUAAAUACUCCUGACUGACCGAUAGUGAACCAGUACCGUGAGGGAAAGGCGAAAAGAACCCCGGCGAGGGGAGUGAAAAAGAACCUGAAACCGUGUACGUACAAGCAGUGGGAGCCUACUUGUUAGGUGACUGCGUACCUUUUGUAUAAUGGGUCAGCGACUUAUAUUCUGUAGCAAGGUUAACCGUAUAGGGGAGCCGAAGGGAAACCGAGUCUUAACUGGGCGUUAAGUUGCAGGGUAUAGACCCGAAACCCGGUGAUCUAGCCAUGGGCAGGUUGAAGGUUGGGUAACACUAACUGGAGGACCGAACCGACUAAUGUUGAAAAAUUAGCGGAUGACCUGUGGCUGGGGGUGAAAGGCCAAUCAAACCGGGAGAUAGCUGGUUCUCCCCGAAAGCUAUUUAGGUAGCGCCUCGUGAACUCAUCUUCGGGGGUAGAGCACUGUUUCGGCUAGGGGGCCAUCCCGGCUUACCAACCCGAUGCAAACUACGAAUACCGAAGAAUGUUAUCACGGGAGACACACGGCGGGUGCUAACGUCCGUCGUGAAGAGGGAAACAACCCAGACCGCCAGCUAAGGUCCCAAAGUCAUGGUUAAGUGGGAAACGAUGUGGGAAGGCACAGACAGCCAGGAUGUUGGCUUAGAAGCAGCCAUCAUUUAAAGAAAGCGUAAUAGCUCACUGGUCGAGUCGGCCUGCGCGGAAGAUGUAACGGGGCUAAACCAUGCACCGAAGCUGCGGCAGCGACGCUUAUGCGUUGUUGGGUAGGGGAGCGUUCUGUAAGCCGUUGAAGGUGGCCUGUGAGGGUUGCUGGAGGUAUCAGAAGUGCGAAUGCUGACAUAAGUAACGAUAAAGCGGGUGAAAAGCCCGCUCGCCGGAAGACCAAGGGUUCCUGUCCAACGUUAAUCGGGGCAGGGUGAGUCGACCCCUAAGGCGAGGCCGAAAGGCGUAGUCGAUGGGAAACAGGUUAAUAUUCCUGUACUUGGUGUUACUGCGAAGGGGGGACGGAGAAGGCUAUGUUAGCCGGGCGACGGUUGUCCCGGUUUAAGCAUGUAGGCGGAGGUUCCAGGUAAAUCCGGUACCUUUUAACGCUGAGGUGUGAUGACGAGGCACUACGGUGCUGAAGUAACAAAUGCCCUGCUUCCAGGAAAAGCCUCUAAGCAUCAGGUAACACGAAAUCGUACCCCAAACCGACACAGGUGGUCAGGUAGAGAAUACCAAGGCGCUUGAGAGAACUCGGGUGAAGGAACUAGGCAAAAUGGUGCCGUAACUUCGGGAGAAGGCACGCUGAUAUGUAGGUGAAGCCCCUGCGGGUGGAGCUGAAAUCAGUCGAAGAUACCAGCUGGCUGCAACUGUUUAUUAAAAACACAGCACUGUGCAAACACGAAAGUGGACGUAUACGGUGUGACGCCUGCCCGGUGCCGGAAGGUUAAUUGAUGGGGUUAGCGGCAACGCGAAGCUCUUGAUCGAAGCCCCGGUAAACGGCGGCCGUAACUAUAACGGUCCUAAGGUAGCGAAAUUCCUUGUCGGGUAAGUUCCGACCUGCACGAAUGGCGUAAUGAUGGCCAGGCUGUCUCCACCCGAGACUCAGUGAAAUUGAACUCGCUGUGAAGAUGCAGUGUACCCGCGGCAAGACGGAAAGACCCCGUGAACCUUUACUAUAGCUUGACACUGAACACUGGUCCUUGAUGUGUAGGAUAGGUGGGAGGCUUUGAAGCGUGGACGCCAGUCUGCGUGGAGCCGACCUUGAAAUACCACCCUUUAAUGGCUGGUGUUCUAACGUAGACCCGUAAUCCGGGUUGCGGACAGUGUCUGGUGGGUAGUUUGACUGGGGCGGUCUCCUCCCAAAGAGUAACGGAGGAGCACGAAGGUUAGCUAAUCCUGGUCGGACAUCAGGAGGUUAGUGCAAUGGCAUAAGCUAGCUUGACUGCGAGAGUGACGGCUCGAGCAGGUGCGAAAGCAGGUCAUAGUGAUCCGGUGGUUCUGAAUGGAAGGGCCAUCGCUCAACGGAUAAAAGGUACUCCGGGGAUAACAGGCUGAUACCGCCCAAGAGUUCAUAUCGACGGCGGUGUUUGGCACCUCGAUGUCGGCUCAUCACAUCCUGGGGCUGAAGUAGGUCCCAAGGGUAUGGCUGUUCGCCAUUUAAAGUGGUACGCGAGCUGGGUUUAGAACGUCGUGAGACAGUUCGGUCCCUAUCUGCCGUGGGCGCUGGAGAAUUGAGGGGGGCUGCUCCUAGUACGAGAGGACCGGAGUGGACGCAUCACUGGUGUUCGGGUUGUCAUGCCAAUGGCACUGCCCGGUAGCUAAAUGCGGAAGAGAUAAGUGCUGAAAGCAUCUAAGCACGAAACUUGCCCCGAGAUGAGUUCUCCCUGAGACU